UCUCCUGAAGCUCAAUGGUAGAGCGUCCGACUAGGUGCGGAAGGUCAUAGGUUUGACUCCUGUUUAAAGAA